rnacentral:rRNA from 1 species
UACGGAGGGUGCAAGCGUUAUCCGGAAUUAUUGGGUUUAAAGGGUCCGCAGGCGGUCCUAUAAGUCAGGGGUGAAAUCCCACAGCUUAACUGUGGAAUUGCCUUUGAAACUGUGGGACUUGAAUUAAGUAGGCGUUGGCGGAAUAUGACAUGUAGCGGUGAAAUGCAUAGAUAUGUCAUGGAACACCGAAAGCGAAGGCAGCUAACGAUGCUUAUAUUGACGCUCAGGGACGAAAGCGUGGGUAGCAAACAGGAUUAGAUACCCUGGUAGUCCACGCCGUAAACUAUGAUUACUCGUUUUUGGGGACUUCGGUCUUCAGAGGCUAAGCGAAAGUGAUAAGUAAUCCACCUGGGGAGUACGAUCGCAAGGUUGAA